GGUGGUUCUCGGGUAACGCACCCUGGAAUUGGCCUCUCCCCACUCUUGUUCCAGGUGCGUCACCCAAGAACUGCU
rfam:Myotis lucifugus cont2.32448, whole genome shotgun sequence.